rnacentral:rRNA from 1 species
GCCUACGGGGGGCAGCAGUGGGGGAUAUUGCACAAUGGGGGAAACCCUGAUGCAGCGACGCCGCGUGAGUGAAGGAGCGUUUCGGCGCGUAAAGCUCUAUCAGCAGGGAAGACAAACUGCCCCGGAAGGGGCAGCCGGACGGUACCUGACCAAGAAGCCCCGGCUAACUACGUGCCAGCAGCCGCGGUAAUACGUAGGGGGCAAGCGUUAUCCGGAUUUACUGGGUGUAAAGGGAGCGUAGACGGCAGUGCAAGUCCGGAGUGAUAGGCGGGGGCUCAACCCCCGGACUGCUCUGGAAACUGUAC